AAAUUGAAGAGUUUGAUCAUGGCUCAGAUUGAACGCUGGCGGCAGGCCUAACACAUGCAAGUCGAACGGUAACAGGAAGCAGCUUGCUGCUUUGCUGACGAGUGGCGGACGGGUGAGUAAUGUCUGGGAAACUGCCUGAUGGAGGGGGAUAACUACUGGAAACGGUAGCUAAUACCGCAUAACGUCGCAAGACCAAAGAGGGGGACCUUCGGGCCUCUUGCCAUCGGAUGUGCCCAGAUGGGAUUAGCUUGUUGGUGGGGUAACGGCUCACCAAGGCGACGAUCCCUAGCUGGUCUGAGAGGAUGACCAGCCACACUGGAACUGAGACACGGUCCAGACUCCUACGGGAGGCAGCAGUGGGGAAUAUUGCACAAUGGGCGCAAGCCUGAUGCAGCCAUGCCGCGUGUAUGAAGAAGGCCUUCGGGUUGUAAAGUACUUUCAGCGGGGAGGAAGGGAGUAAAGUUAAUACCUUUACUCAUUGACGUUACCCGCAGAAGAAGCACCGGCUAACUCCGUGCCAGCAGCCGCGGUAAUACGGAGGGUGCAAGCGUUAAUCGGAAUUACUGGGCGUAAAGCGCACGCAGGCGGUUUGUUAAGUCAGAUGUGAAAUCCCCGGGCUCAACCUGGGAACUGCAUCUGAUACUGGCAAGCUUGAGUCUCGUAGAGGGGGGUAGAAUUCCAGGUGUAGCGGUGAAAUGCGUAGAGAUCUGGAGGAAUACCGGUGGCGAAGGCGGCCCCCUGGACGAAGACUGACGCUCAGGUGCGAAAGCGUGGGGAGCAAACAGGAUUAGAUACCCUGGUAGUCCACGCCGUAAACGAUGUCGACUUGGAGGUUGUGCCCUUGAGGCGUGGCUUCCGGAGCUAACGCGUUAAGUCGACCGCCUGGGGAGUACGGCCGCAAGGUUAAAACUCAAAUGAAUUGACGGGGGCCCGCACAAGCGGUGGAGCAUGUGGUUUAAUUCGAUGCAACGCGAAGAACCUUACCUGGUCUUGACAUCCACAGAACCUUGUAGAGAUACGAGGGUGCCUUCGGGAACUGUGAGACAGGUGCUGCAUGGCUGUCGUCAGCUCGUGUUGUGAAAUGUUGGGUUAAGUCCCGCAACGAGCGCAACCCUUAUCCUUUGUUGCCAGCGGUCCGGCCGGGAACUCAAAGGAGACUGCCAGUGAUAAACUGGAGGAAGGUGGGGAUGACGUCAAGUCAUCAUGGCCCUUACGACCAGGGCUACACACGUGCUACAAUGGCGCAUACAAAGAGAAGCGACCUCGCGAGAGCAAGCGGACCUCAUAAAGUGCGUCGUAGUCCGGAUUGGAGUCUGCAACUCGACUCCAUGAAGUCGGAAUCGCUAGUAAUCGUGGAUCAGAAUGCCACGGUGAAUACGUUCCCGGGCCUUGUACACACCGCCCGUCACACCAUGGGAGUGGGUUGCAAAAGAAGUAGGUAGCUUAACCUUCGGGAGGGCGCUUACCACUUUGUGAUUCAUGACUGGGGUGAAGUCGUAACAAGGUAACCGUAGGGGAACCUGCGGUUGGAUCACCUCCUUACCUUAAAGAAGC
rnacentral:rRNA from 1 species